rnacentral:rRNA from 1 species
GACGAACGCUGGCGGCGUGCUUAACACAUGCAAGUCGAACGGUGAUGCUCCAGCUUGCUGGAGUGGAUCAGUGGCGAACGGGUGAGUAACACGUGAGCAACCUGCCCCAGACUCUGGAAUAAGCGCUGGAAACGGCGUCUAAUACUGGAUACGAAACUGGCCCGCAUGGGCAUGGUUUGGAAAGUUUUUCGGUUUGGGAUGGGCUCGCGGCCUAUCAGCUUGUUGGUGAGGUAAUGGCUCACCAAGGCGACGACGGGUAGCCGGCCUGAGAGGGCGACCGGCCACACUGGGACUGAGACACGGCCCAGACUCCUACGGGAGGCAGCAGUGGGGAAUAUUGCACAAUGGGCGAAAGCCUGAUGCAGCGACGCCGCGUGAGGGAUGACGGCCUUCGGGUUGUAAACCUCUUUCAGCAGGGAGGAAGCGAAAGUGACGGUACCUGCAGAAGAAGCACCGGCUAACUACGUG